rnacentral:piRNA from 1 species
UGCAUGAGCCAAGUCCAGCAAUGAAUUGU